rnacentral:rRNA from 1 species
GGAACAGGACGUCGCAGAGGGUGAGAAUCCCGUAUGUGACCGGGCGCCUCCGCCCAUGUGAAGCUCUUUCGACGAGUCGAGUUGUUUGGGAAUGCAGCUCAAAAUGGGUGGUAUAUUUCAUCUAAAGCUAAAUAUGGGCCAGAGACCGAUAGCGCACAAGUAGAGUGAUCGAAAGAUGAAAAGCACUUUGGAAAGAGAGUUAAACAGUACGUGAAAUUGUUGAAAGGGAAGCGCUUGCAACCAGACUUGCGCGCGGGCGAUCACCCGGGCUUCUGCCCGGGGCACUCGCCCGCGCUCAGGCCAGCAUCGGUUCUGGUGGUGGGACAAAGGCCGGGGGAACGUAGCUCCCUUCGGGGAGUGUUAUAGCCCCCGGUGCAAUGCCGCCCACCGGGACCGAGGACCGCGCUCCGGCUAGGAUGCUGGCGUAAUGGUUGCAAGCGACCCGUCUUGAAACACGGACCAAGGAGUCUAACAUCUAUGCGAGUGUUUGGGUGUCAAACCCAUACGCGCAAUGAAAGUGAACGGAGGUGAGAACCCUGAAGGGUGCAUCAUCGACCGAUCCUGAUGUCUUCGGAUGGAUUUGAGUACGAGCAUAGCUGUUGGGACCCGAAAGAUGGUGAACUAUGCGUGAAUAGGGUGAAGCCAGAGGAAACUCUGGUGGAGGCUCGCAGCGGUUCUGACGUGCAAAUCGAUCGUCAAAUUUGCGUAUAGGGGCGAAA